GAGUUUGAUCCUGGCUCAGGACGAACGCUGGCGGCGCGCCUAACACAUGCAAGUCGAACGAGCGAGAGAGAGCUUGCUUUCUCGAGCGAGUGGCGAACGGGUGAGUAACGCGUGAGGAACCUGCCUCAAAGAGGGGGACAACAGUUGGAAACGACUGCUAAUACCGCAUAAGCCCACGGCUCGGCAUCGAGCAGGGGGAAAAGGAGUAAUCCGCUUUGAGAUGGCCUCGCGUCCGAUUAGCUAGUUGGUGAGGUAAUGGCCCACCAAGGCGACGAUCGGUAGCCGGACUGAGAGGUUGAACGGCCACAUUGGGACUGAGACACGGCCCAGACUCCUACGGGAGGCAGCAGUGGGGAAUCUUGCGCAAUGGGGGGAACCCUGACGCAGCGACGCCGCGUGCGGGACGGAGGCCUUCGGGUCGUAAACCGCUUUCAGCAGGGAAGAGUCAAGACUGUACCUGCAGAAGAAGCCCCGGCUAACUACGUGCCAGCCGCCGCGGUAAUUC
rnacentral:rRNA from 1 species